UGAGACCGAUGCGCGAUUCCCGUCCUCCCUUCGGCCCGUUCGGGGUCUCACGACUCGGCUCGUCGUCGGGGCUAAAGGUCGGCGCGCUCCGCUUGUGGUGACUCUGGAUAACUCACUGGUCGAUCGCACGGGCUUCCACGCCCGGCGACGGGUCCCUCGAGGGUCCGCCCUAUCAACUG
rnacentral:rRNA from 1 species